rnacentral:rRNA from 1 species
GGUUAAGUUACUAAGGGCGCAUGGUGGAUGCCUUGGAGUCGUCGAGCGAUGAAGGACGUGGUAAGCUGCGAUAAGCCUCGGGGAGCUGCAAACAAGCUUUGAUCCGGGGAUUUCCGAAUGGGGAAACCCACUGCGGGUAAACCUGCAGUACUCUGGCCUGAAUACAUAGGGCCAAGAGGGCGUACGAGGGGAAUUGAAACAUCUCAGUACCCUCAGGAACAGAAAAUAACAAUGAUUCUCCUAGUAGCGGCGAGCGAACGGGGAACAGCCUAAACCGAUGCCGUGUCAAGCUGACGGGCGUUGCGUCAUCGGUGUUGCGGGACCUUUCAGGGAGCUCCGUUAAGUUCCCAGGGAGUUACAAAGAUCAAUCAUAGCCGAGCGGCCUGGAAAGGCCGGCCACAGAGGGUGACAGCCCCGUAGGCGAAAUGGUUGGACCUCCCGAGAGUCAUCCCAAGUACCGCGGGACACGAGAAAUCCUGUGGGAAUCUGGCAGGACCAUCUGCCAAGGCUAAAUAUCCGACGACUACCGAUAGUGAACCAGUACCGUGAGGGAAAGGUGAAAAGCACCCCUGGCGGGGAGUGAAAUAGUACCUGAAACCAUGCGCUUACAAGCAGUCGGAGGGCCUUCGGGCCUGACGGCGUGCCUUUUGCAUAAUGAGCCGGUGAGUUAUCGUGUGCAGCAAGGUUAAGUGUCGCAGGCACGGAGCCGUAGCGAAAGCGAGUCUGAAUAGGGCGCGAAGUUGCACGCGGUAGACCCGAAGCUGGGUGAUCUUGCCAUGACCAGGAUGAAGCGCAAGUAACAUUGCGUGGAAGUCCGAACCAGGGUGGGUUGAAAACCGCUUGGAUGAGUUGUGGCAAGGGGUGAAAGGCCAAUCAAACCCAGUGAUAGCUGGUUCUCCCCGAAAUACAUUUUGGUGUAGCCUCGGGAACUGUUAGACGGAGGUAGAGCACUGAAUGGGUUAGGGGCCCUAAAAGGUUUACCGACCCCAAUCAAACUCCGAAUGCCGUACUAAUGAAUCCCGGGAGACAGGCUUUGGGUGAUAAGAUCCAGGGCCGAGAGGGAAAGAGCCCAGACCAACAGCUAAGGUCCCUAAAUCGAGGCUAAGUGUUGAAGGAUGUCGGAUCGCACAGACACCUAGGAGGUUGGCUUAGAAGCAGCCAUCCUUUAAAGAAAGCGUAAUAGCUCACUAGUUAAGCGAUCUGGCGCCGAAAAUAAUCGGGACUCAAGCCUUGUACCGAAGCUUUGGAUUCGUGCCUUCGGGCACGUCUGGUAGGGGAGCAUUCCGUAGGUGGUUGAAGCCGCGUCGUAAGGCUCGGUGGACACAUCGGAAGGGCUUAUGCCGGCAUGAGUAGCGAUAAUGCGGGUGAGAAACCCGCACACCGUAAACCUAAGGUUUCCUGAGGAAGGCUCGUCCUCUCAGGGUUAGUCGGAUCCUAAGUCGAGGCCGAAAGGCGUAGACGAUGGGAAUCCGGUCAAAAUUCCGGAACCUGUUUUGUUUCGUUUGUACGAUGGGGUGACGCAGAAGUGAAAGGACAGCCGGCUGAUGGAUGCCGGUCCAAGCGUGUAGGCGUGAAGCUUAGGCAAAUCCGGGCUUCUUAUACGCCGAGGCGUGAUGGAGGAACAACCCUUCGGGGGAGCCAAUUGUCCCUAAUCAGGCUGCCGAGAAAAGCCUCUAAGGAGAGACAAGACAGACCGUACCGUAAACCGACACAGGUGGGUGAGGAGAGUAUCCUAAGGUGCUCGAGAGAACCCUGGUGAAGGAACUCGGCAAAAUGGCUCCGUAACUUCGGGAGAAGGAGCGCCACAAGUACGUGAAGCGAUUCGCUCGUGAAGCAGAAAGUGGCCGCAGUGAAAAGGCGUUGGCGACUGUUUACUAAAAACACAGGUCUCUGCGAAAUCGAAAGAUGACGUAUAGGGACUGACACCUGCCCGGUGCCGAUCUGUUAAGAGGGAGAGGUUAGCCUUCGGGCGAAGCUUUGAAUCGAAGCCUCGGUAAACGGCGGCCGUAACUAUAACGGUCCUAAGGUAGCGAAAUUCCUUGUCGGGUAAGUUCCGACCUGCACGAAUGGUGUAACGAUCGACGCGCUGUCUCCACCAGGGGCUCGGCGAAAUUGAGUUGGCGGUGAAAACGCCGCCUACCCGCGACUAGACGGAAAGACCCCGUGCACCUUUACUGCAACUUCACAUUGGGUCUUGGCAUUACUUGUGUAGGAUAGCUGGGAGGCUGUGAAACGGGCACGCCAGUGUUCGUGGAGCCAACGUUGAAAUACCAGCCUGGUGAUGUUAGGAUUCUAACUCCGUUCCGUAAUCCGGGCGGAGGACAGUGUGUGGUGGGUAGUUUGGCUGGGGCGGUCGCCUCCGAAAAAGUAACGGAGGCGCGCAAAGGUUCCCUCAGCGUGUUUGGUAAUCACGCGACGAGUGUAAUGGCAUAAGGGAGCUUAACUGCGAGACCUACAAGUCGAGCAGAUGCGAAAGCAGGUCAUAGUGAUCCGGCGGUCCCGCAUGGAAGGGCCGUUGCUCAUCGGAUAAAAGGUACGCCGGGGAUAACAGGCUGAUCUCCCCCAAGAGUCCACAUCGACGGGGAGGUUUGGCACCUCGAUGUCGGCUCAUCACAUCCUGGGGCUGGAGAAGGUCCCAAGGGUUUGGCUGUUCGCCAAUUAAAGUGGUACGCGAGCUGGGUUUAGAACGUCGUGAGACAGUUCGGUCCCUAUCUGUCGUGGGCGCAGGAUAUUUGAAAGGCGCUGUCCCUAGUACGAGAGGACCGGGAUGGACGUACCACUAGUGUACCAGUUGUCUCGCCAGAGGCAGUGCUGGGUAGCUAGGUACGGCCGGGAUAAACGCUGAAAGCAUAUAAGCGUGAAGCCCCUCCUAAGAUAAGAUCUCCCGGACGAAAGUCCCUGAAGGCUCGAGGUAGACUACCUCGUUGAUAGGCUACAGGUGUAAGCGCAGUAAUGCGUUCAGCCGAGUAGUACUAAUAAGCCGUGAGGCUUAAUCAU